UCCAGGUCUAUGAUGCUAGAUCACAGUAACUUGACUCCUGUGCAGCAUUUUGAACUCUGAGACUUUGGCGACUAAAAUCCUAAUGUCAAUUAGGGCUGGUAUUCAACCACUAAUGGCAAUGAUCCCUACAGAUUAAAGGCAGCAUUGCACCCUCAAGGGGUAUGGCACUUGAAUAGGCACCAAAGAGUCAAGAGACAAGAGUGUUUUAUUGUCAUAUGUCCCAGAUAGAGCAAUGAAAUUCUUACUUGCAGCAACACACCAGAAUAUGUAAACAGAUCACUGUAAACAAUGUAAUAAAUGAGAAAUACAUACACACACACACACAUAUAUGUAAACAUAAAAGACAAACAAACAAUAAUAGUACAAUAAUAACAAUAAUAGUCUAUGUAGUUCAGAGCUUAUUUGAAGUUGUGGUGUUUAAUGGCUUAAUGGCUGUAGGAACUAAGCUGUUCCUGAACCUGGACGUUACAGUUUUCAGGUUUCUGUACUUUCUUCCCAAUAGCAGGGGUGAAAUAGCAUGUGGCCAGGGUGGUGUGGGUCUUUGAUGAUGCUGGCUGCCUUUUUGAGGCAGCGACUCCAGUAAAUCCCUUUGAUCGUGGGGUCGGAACCUGUGAUGGACUGGGCAGAAAAUGCAUAAGCAGCCAUCCAAGUUCUAGACAAAGGUAGGUACAUUUGUAAGGUAAGUAAGUGUGAGGAGUGAGAACAAGUGUGAAAAGGCAAGCAAGGGGAUGGGAUGGUGAAAGCAGCAUGUUGAGCAAUGUGUUUAUUUCCUGAACUGCUGCAGGCUUGGAGUUCUUCCCUACUCUGAAUACAGGCUCCUGCUGCUUCCUACCCCACAAUCUUCAACCAUGCAUUCCAGUUCUGACUGUUGGACGGCAAAGAUAGAUACCAUAUGCUGGAGUAACUCAGCGGGACAGGUAGCAUCUCUGGAGAGAAGGAAAGGGUGACAUUCAGGCAAGGAAGGUUAUCUUUCUACAAUCCUUCUUAGAUCUCAGUAACACAUCCACAAAGGAAGGAAGCACCAUUUUUAUCUUCCGAGACACCAGUCAGCCACCUGGUUCUCUUCACAAAUUAUCAUUACACAGGUCCAUGUCAUUCCUCGUAGGUAUGUUACAAUACUUGCCUUCAGCGGUGCUGCAGUUUUGCCACUGGCCGUGUGCGCGACUUUGGCACCUUUGAGGGGAGGAGGCAGGAUUAAAAUGCCGUUUUCUCCUCCUUGUCCGAGAUAUAUUUUCUCCAGCUGCUAGCUGAUGCUUUGAAAAUUGUUCCGACUUGCGUUCUCCAGAGUUGUAAUAGAAAAUCGUGGGACAAUUUAAUCGCUGGAGUAAAAUAAAAAAGCGACUUCUAACGUCAAUGUUGACAACGGGACGGAUCUCACGUAGGGGACAAAACAUAAGAUGCUGCCCGACCCUUUGAGUUACUCCAACGCUUUGUAUUUUACACAAGACUCCAACAUCUGCAGUUCCUUGUGUCUACCCAGGGCUUUCUUCUGGGUUCUCAACAGGCUAUAAAGCCUCACAUAAGAGUACCUAAACAUCCGACAUACGAGCAAGAAUAGGUCCUUUGGCCUUUGCAGCCAGCUCUUCCAUUCCAUAAGUUCAUGGUUGAUGUGACCUUGGCCUCGUCUUUGCUUUGCUGGUUGUUUUCUAUAAUCCUUGAGUCCCCUAUAGUCCAAAAAAUCUAUUUCAGGCCAAAGGCACUUCGCAUCUCUGUCCACAAGCUUUAUAUUCAAAGUCCACCUGACAGUGUAUAGCACAAUAUGAUAAGGCACCACAGCAAGAAAUGAAAAAAUGAAAAACUAUAAAUUCUGCCUGUGAUAGUAAUGUAAAAAAAUCUCUUUCCACCCCAAUGUGUUUCUAUCCUUCUCAAGUUAAAUAAUAAAUAAUUCCACACAUAACUAUUCUAAUCUUAGAUGGCAACAUGCGAGACCUUAAAACAAGAAGUAAACAUCAUAUCGAAAUAGACAUUAUUUUUUUAAGUUGACAUUUAAAUAAAAACUCAAUCUGUCCUCUUGGAAAGCAAUACAGACUCACAGAAUACUGAAUUGCAUGUGCGUGUCAUGUUAGAAAAUGCAGCACACUUCAGAACUGACAAAGCUCAAAGAUGCUCGAGGGCAACUGAACAUCACAUUUAAAGAUUUCCAAGGGAUAAGGGAGUAUUAAAUUAGAAUAGCAGACAUUUCAAAAGGUCUGUUGAGCUUUAUUUUGCAGCCAUCCAAUCUAAAAAUGGUUGAAGUUUGAUCUAUGACCAUUAAUGCAGUCUUCUCAGAUUUUCAGAAAUUGUCCUUGGCAAACAAGGCUACAUCUAUCACUCAACAAGUACCUCAACUUGACACAAAUAUUUACAUAAAACUAGCUCUUCUGUAACUUUUCUGCAUCUGCUACAUUAACAACUUAAAACAGAGAUUUGGGACAGUGUUAGACUUACUUUUAAAUUCCCUCUCCCCCCACUACAUAUUGUAACCAGAGUGGCUCAAGUCAGGUGGUACUUCUCAGAAAUGAUCACACUUACUUAAAACCAUAAUGGCAUAAAAAUAGCAGGGAAAAUAUUUUCAUUGAGAUUUUUCCGAAUUUUGACCAUGAAUUGAUUGCCAAGUGACAGUGAAAAUAUGUUCUUUGAUGACGUGAGUAAAGUUAACUUGAUGAAAACGUUGUCUGUACAUUUUCUCCACAGAUUCUGCCUGUCACACUGAGUUCUUCUAGUACUUUGUUUUUAUUUUGCUUUUUCUUUCAGACGAUUGGUAUGUGGAAAUAGUUUGAUUGUACCUCCUUAUAAGAAUGGUCCAGGUUAUUUAUUGCUCUCGAAUUAGCACAUCAUAAUAGUUUACACAAUAUACUGCAUCUGCCCUUAUUUAACAACACAUAUAACUUCUUAAAAGGAAGGUGACUUGGUUGCAUAGUUUCAGAACAAACAUUUUCAUAGAAGACAGAUGGCUGUGGUGGAAGGAAGACAUCCUGGCUGGAGGUCUGUGACCAGUGGAGUUCCACAGGGAUCUGUGCUGGACCUCUGCUGUUUGUGAUAGAUGACAACUUGAACAUAAAUGUAGAUGGGUUGGUGAGCAAGUUUGAUAAAAACACCAAAAUUGGAGGAGUUGCGGACAAUGAGGAAGGCUGUCACAAGAUGCAGCAGGUUAUAGAUCAGCUGCGGAAAUGGGGGGAGAAAUGGCAGAUGGAGUUUAAUCCGAGCAAGUGUGAGGUGAUGUACUUUGGGACAUUGAAUGGAAGGGGAGAGUAUACAGUUAAUGGCAAGAUCCUUAAUGACAUUGAUGUGCAGAGGGAUCGUGGAGUCCAAGUCCAUAGCUCUGAAGGUAGCAGCACAAGUAGACAGAAUGGCAAAGAUGGCAUAUGGUAUGCUUGUCUUCAAUGCUAGGGGUAUUGAGCAGACGAGUAAGAAAGUCAUGAUGCAGCUUUAUAAGACUUUGGGUCAGCCGCAUUUGGAGUAUUGCAUACCCAGUUUUGAUUGCACCAAUACAGGAAGGAUGUGGAGCCUUUGGAGAGGGUGCAGCGGAGGUUUAGCCAAAUGCUGCUGAGAUUAGAGGGUUUCAGCUGCAAGGUGAGGUUGGAUGAACUUGGAUUGAUUUUUCUGGAACGUUGGAGGUUGAGUGGAAACAUGAUAGAAUUAUAUACAUUUAUGAGAGUGGACAAUCAGAGGUGGAAAUGUCCAAUACUAGAGGGGAGAGCUAUAAAGUAAAAGGGGAAAAGUUUAAUGGAGAUGUACUGGGCAAGUUAUUUUACACAGGGAGUGGUGGGGUCCUGGAACGCAUUGUGAGGGAUGGUGGUGGAGGCAGAUACGAUAGUGGUGUUUAAGAGGCUUUUAGAUAGGCACAUGGAAGUGUAAAGAAUAGAGGGAUAUGGAUCAUAUUCAGGUACAUAACAUCAGUUUAACUUGGCAUCAGGUUCGGUGCAAACACUGUGGGCCAAAGGGCCUGUGCCUGUACCGUGCUGUUCUAUGUUCUAUGAAUGCAAUAUUAGGAUUUUGUUGAAAUGUCCUUUCCCUUCUCAUCCCACAUAUGGACUGAGAAAUGAUUUGGCUGAUUCUCUGUGUCACUGUGAAGGAAGAAACAGCACAUAUUGGUUUACACUGUAGAUAAACACAAAAUGCUAGAGUAACUCAAUGGGUCAGGCAGCAUCUCUUUGGAGAAACGGAAUAGGAGAUAUUUUGGGUCAAAACCCUUCUUCAGACUGAAGAAGGGUUUCAACACAAAACGCCACCUCUUCCAUUUCCCUAAAGAUGCUACCUGACCCGCUGAGUUACUCCAGCAUUUUGUGUCUGUCUCUCUGUGUCACUGUUUUGCAAACCAAUUGAGGGAGGACCUGAGUAGCAUGUAUGAUCCAUCCUCUGACCUUUUUAUCCUAUUGUUGGGAAAAUGUGUCAUGUUCACUAGCUACCUCAAAAUGUCAGGACUGAUAGACUCCAGAAUUAACCGUCAGUGCAAGAUAGAAUAUGUCAUCAUUUUGUGACAUUUCAAUGGUAAGCUUUCAAUUAAUUCCACACACCUUUUUUGGCCAGUUAAUGUCAAAAUGAACAGGUAUGAUUUUGAGCCAUAUAAAUUGUUAAUAUUUAUCACUGAAAGUAAUCUUGCUCACUCUUGCGGAUGUCACAAUGCUGGGUGGGCGUGCAAGUGGCAAACAGGAUGUAAAGAGGCACUAACGUGAUUCAGACGAGUCGAGAGGGCAAAUGCAAUGAAAAUACAGCAGAAUGUUGAUGAAUGUGAAGCUAUCCAAGCUGGCAGCAAAAAGACAAAGGCAAAUGAUUAGUAUAUGAAUGGUGUUAGAUUAUACAUGUACACCAGUCAUAUGCAGCAAGCCAUUGAGAAGGAAAUGUAUAUUUUGGGCUUCAUAACAAAAAGGAAUUGAGUGCAGGAGCAGGAAUAUCUUUGUGAAAUUGUAUAUGGUCUUGGCAAGACCACACCUUGAGUAUUGUGUGCCGUUUUAACCUCUUUACAUGAGGAAGGAUGAUGUGGAGGUAGUUAAAUGCAAACUGAUGUACCACUCACCACACUGAUCACUCUUCAGAUCCAGGAUGAUGCAUGAAGACAGUUUGGUACAAUUGGGCCUAUACUCACGAGUUUAGAAGGAUAAAGGCGGAUGGCAUUGAUAACUCUUUAAACCUGAUGGGACUGUACAGAGGAGAUGUGAGAAGGAUGUUCCUGACAGUAGGAAGGUCUAGGAGUAGUGAUUGCACCCUAGGGAUAUGGCAUAGUUAAUUUCAGAGCAAGUAAAGGUGAAGCUUCUUCACCCAAAAGUAGGAAACGUGCAGAAUUCUAUACCACAGAAAUUCGUUGAAACCAGACUGUCAAAUAUAUUCAGGAAGAAGUUAGUUAUACUAAUGGACAAGGAGGUUAAGGAAUAGUUGACAAAGCAGGAAGAAGGCACUGAAUUUAAAUGAUCAGAUUGAACAGCCAAAUGGCCUAUUCUAACUGCUAAUUUUUAUGAUUCCAUGUAAAUUAAAUUAGAUUUAUUUGAACGAUAAUGACAAGAGUUUAUAACAUGUCACAUUUUGGGUUCGUACCCUUAAUUCUAGCUUUUUAAAUGUGUCAUUACAAUUCUUAAUAAAUAUGAUAAUGUGCACAUUCUAACAGAAUGAAGCCUUAGAUGGCAUUUUUAAUGAAUGUAUAUUUCUUUCAAAUGUUAUUCUUCUUUGAAGUAUAAUGUUAACAUUGCAUUGAAUAUUAAUUUUCCCAACCAUGAUUAGAUUUAGCAUUUGAUGUGUUAAUUAACGUGAGCAACUAUUUAUACGAUCCUAAAUGCGACUGUCUUGAUAUGCAUACAGCAAAUUAAAAAUUGAAUGCCAAACAAAAUACAA